rnacentral:rRNA from 1 species
GAUGAACGCUACCGGCAGGCUUAACACAUGCAAGUCGAGGCGUAACAGGGUUCUCGCACCGCUGACGACCGGCGCACGGGUGCGUAACGCGUAUACAGUCUACCUUUUACAGGGGCAUCGCCCGGGGAAACCCGGACUAAUAUCCCAUGGUCUGGCGCAGUGGCCUCGCUUUUUCAUUAAAGUUUCGUCUGGAAAAGAUGAGGAUGCGUCCUAUUAGCUAGAUGGUAAGGUCACGGCUUACCAUGGCUACGAUACGUAGGGGUCCUGAGAGGGAGAUCCCCCACACUGGUACUGAGACACGGACCAGACUCCUACGGGAGGCAGCAGUGAGGAAUAUUGGACAAUGGGCGAGAGCCUGAUCCAGCCAUGCCGCGUGCAGGAAGACUGCCCUAUGGGUUGUAAACUGCUUUUAUACGGGAAGAAACACCCUCACGUGUGAGGGCUUGACGGUACCGUAUGAAUAAGGAUCGGCUAACUCCGUGCCAGCAGCCGCGGUAACAC